GAUUUCUGGCGUGGUGCCUCUCGUCCGCCGGCAUUAGCCGCGUGAGUACGGGAGUUUGUGCCUGCCAUCCUUCCGGGGAGCGCGUCUGCCCUUCACUGGGUUGGGCGCGCGGCCUGGAUCGUUUACUUUGAAAAAAUUAGAGUGUUUAAAGCAGGCGAUUGCCUCUGAAUACAUUAGCAUGGAAUAAUAAAAUAGGACUUUGGUUCUAUUUUGUUGGUUUCUAGAACUGAAGUAAUGAUUGAUAGGGACAGUUGGGGGUGCUAGUAUUCGACGGCCAGAGGUGAAAUUCUUGGAUUCGUUGAAGACUAACUAAUGCGAAAGCAUU
rnacentral:rRNA from 1 species